rnacentral:rRNA from 1 species
UACAGAGGGGGCCAGCGUUAUUCGGAAUUAUUGGGCGUAAAGAGCUCGUAGGCGGUUUGUCGCGUCUGCUGUGAAAACCUAAGGCUCAACCUUGGGCUUGCAGUGGGUACGGGCAGACUAGAGUGCGGUAGGGGUGACUGGAAUUCCUGGUGUAGCGGUGGAAUGCGCAGAUAUCAGGAGGAACACCGAUGGCGAAGGCAGGUCACUGGGCCGCAACUGACGCUGAGGAGCGAAAGCAUGGGGAGCGAACAGG